rnacentral:lncRNA from 2 species
UACCGUACGCGAGCAGACACGGACGAGACGAGCGCCCAAAGCCCUCGCUGGCAAGAGGUGAAGAGGGGGGAGAAAGACGCGUCAAAGCCAUCAACCAGAUCGAUUGAUCCAUCCAUCCAUCAAUCGAUCGAUCGAGCGAUCCAACCGAGGUACGCGAGCAACCAUCCCCGCUUCCCCUUUUCCUCCUCCGAUUCGAGAUCCAUGGCGGGGCCUCUGCCGUGCGGCACCUCAAACCCUCUCCGGUCCCGGCGAGCAGAUCUGAAGGCGCGGCCGGCCGACCUCCUCCCGCCUACCUCAAGUCUCGUCUCGACUCGAAUUGAAGGUCUUGCGAUUACUUCCCUCGCGUAG